CCUACGGGUGGCAGCAGUGAGGAAUAUUGGUCAAUGGCCGAGAGGCUGAACCAGCCAAGUCGCGUGAGGGAAGAAUGUCCUAUGGAUUGUAAACCUCUUUUGUCAGGGAGCAAAGUCACCCACGUGUGGGUGUUGGAGAGUAACCGAAGAAACAGCAUCGGCUAACUCCGUGCCAGCAGCCGCGGUAAUACGGAGGAUGCGAGCGUUAUCCGGAUUUAUUGGGGUUAAAGGGUGCGUAGGCGGGAUAUCAAGUCAGCGGUAAAAUUGUGGAGCUCAACUCCGUCCAGCCCUUGAAACUGGCGCUCUUGAGUGGGAGAGAAGUAUGCGGAAUGCGUGGUGUAGCGGUGAAAUGCAUAGAUAUCACGCAGAACCCCGAUUGCGAAGGCAGCAUGCCGGCUACCGACUGACGCUGAAGCACGAAAGCGUGGGGAUCGAACAGGAUUAGAUACCCCUGUAGUC
rnacentral:rRNA from 1 species